rnacentral:lncRNA from 10 species
CGGUUCUCUAAUUUGACUCAGCUUCAGAUUGGAAUGUUUCUCUCCUCACUGGGAAAAGCUCCUUUGGUCUCAGUGAACUCAGAGGUGGAGAAAGUCAUAAGAAUCAGGGAGCCUGCCCCAAAUUGCCUCCUAUGAUAACUUUCCACAAAGACUGGAGGGGAGGCUUCAAACAUCUUCCUGCAGUGUCCAGCAAGACAGCGAGGCAGACUCCCUUUCUCCUGCCAAAGCCACGUGGAGCCAGACAGAACCACAAGCAUACCUGUGGUGCUUGGAGGCCCAAGUAGAAACUUGAAUGCUCACGGCUGCAUUGGCAGCUUCUACUUGCCUGCCUGGAUCACCGUUCCUCAUGAGAACUUGGAAAAGCAGGACUAUCAUUCUUGCUUGACAGACGAAGAAACCAAGCCUCAGGACUGCGUGCAAUUCUACUUGGAGAUCUUCAUAACACCUUAAGGGAAAAAUCCUUUUUGAAAGAAAAACAAGUCUGGGUGGUGCUUGAAAAUUCAGAAGGCAGCUAGAAACUCUGCCAAUUACAACUGGUGAUUGCUGAGUUCUGGAGACAGACUGGGCUUCUGCUUUCUUUUGGUGGAGGUGUCUGCUUGCAGAAAAUUUAUGUUCUGGGAUUUACAACUUCAGGGAGACAAAGGAAACUCCAGCUCAUCUCCCACAUCAUUGAUUGAGAGGACCAUUUUCUGACUGUCUGCACACGUUUCCUAUACUACCCUUUAAUGCAACAAUGGGAUGAAGAGAUGAAGACUUCUAGCAGGCUACCUCAGAAAGGUUGCUGACCAAAGGCUGUAUGGACCAAAAAGUCAUAACACCACCCUGGAUGAAAGGACAUUUACCUAAGGAAUUACCCGCUCUCAAUUCUUCCCAGGUGCAUGUAGUAUAGAUUAAAUAAGGUGGUUGUAUGGCAACAGAGACAUUAUUAGAAACAUUCUUCUUGAAGUUUGACAACAAAGCAGUAGAUGUGUAUCUACUACAGAGUUGUUAGUGAAAAAAGGGAUGGGCAUUUGAAUUAUUUCCAGUUUUUGGCUAUUAUGAAAAAAACUGCUAUGAACAUUCAUACACAAGUGUGUGUGUGGACCCAUGUUUUCACUGAUCAAGGCCUAAAUACCUACGUGGUGCUUCGUGAACCCUGGAUGCUACAGUCUCUGGCCACAGCACUAAAUGUAUGCUGAGAUCUGGCUUCACGGUCG